UACGUAGGGGGCGAGCGUUGUCCGGAAUUACUGGGCGUAAAGGGUGCGUAGGUGGCUUGUUAAGUUGGAUGUGAAAUCCCCGGGCUCAACUUGGGUGGUGCAUUCAAAACUGGCGAGCUAGAGUGCAGGAGAGGGAAGCGGAAUUCCUAGUGUAGCGGUGAAAUGCGUAGAUAUUAGGAGGAACACCAGUGGCGAAGGCGGCUUUCUGGACUGUAACUGACACUGAGGCACGAAAGCGUGGGGAGCAAACAGG
rnacentral:rRNA from 1 species